UUCUGAUUGGCGAAGCCGCGAGCGGUGCGCGAUGACGUCAUGGCCAAGCGACGUUGCUAUAAGACCGCGGUCCGGCGGAAGCGUCUCUCUUUGUCACGGGCGUGAGUUCGUAGGCGCGGCGGGCCUAGAGAAGCCAACAUGCCGGUUGCCAGAAGUUGGGUUUGUCGCAAAACCUAUGUGACCCCACGGAGACCCUUCGAGAAAUCCCGUCUCGACCAGGAACUGAAGCUGAUCGGAGAGUAUGGGCUCCGGAACAAGCGUGAGGUCUGGAGGGUCAAAUUUACCCUGGCUAAGAUCCGCAAGGCCGCCCGGGAGCUGCUGACACUGGACGAAAAGGACCCGCGGCGUCUUUUUGAAGGCAAUGCUCUGCUGAGGCGACUUGUUCGCAUUGGGGUGCUGGAUGAAGGCAAGAUGAAGCUGGAUUACAUCCUGGGCCUGAAAAUUGAGGAUUUCUUGGAGAGGCGGCUGCAGACCCAGGUCUUUAAACUGGGUCUGGCCAAAUCUAUUCACCAUGCCCGUGUGCUCAUCCGCCAGCGUCAUAUCAGCCUUCGGAGCUGACAAAUCUGAGCUUACCCUGGGGGUUCAGAGUGAAAGCUUAUGGGGGAAUUGGGGACAGCUUUGUCUCCCUCCCCAUAGCCCAGCGCAAGUGUCACUGCGGCUCAAGCCGUACACCUUGCGAAGUUCUCUGCCAGGCAUGCAAGCAGCUGGACAGGGUCCGCAAGCAGGUGGUGAACAUUCCAUCCUUCAUUGUUCGUCUGGACUCCCAGAAGCACAUUGAUUUCUCCCUCCGUUCUCCUUAUGGUGGUGGCCGCCCAGGCCGAGU